AGAGUUUGAUCCUGGCUCAGGAUGAACGCUAGCUACAGGCUUAACACAUGCAAGUCGAGGGGCAGCAUGGUCUUAGCUUGCUAAGGCCGAUGGCGACCGGCGCACGGGUGAGUAACACGUAUCCAACCUGCCGUCUACUCUUGGACAGCCUUCUGAAAGGAAGAUUAAUACAAGAUGGCAUCAUGAGUCCGCAUGUUCACAUGAUUAAAGGUAUUCCGGUAGACGAUGGGGAUGCGUUCCAUUAGAUAGUAGGCGGGGUAACGGCCCACCUAGUCUUCGAUGGAUAGGGGUUCUGAGAGGAAGGUCCCCCACAUUGGAACUGAGACACGGUCCAAACUCCUACGGGAGGCAGCAGUGAGGAAUAUUGGUCAAUGGACGAGAGUCUGAACCAGCCAAGUAGCGUGAAGGAUGACUGCCCUAUGGGUUGUAAACUUCUUUUAUAAAGGAAUAAAGUCGGGUAUGGAUACCCGUUUGCAUGUACUUUAUGAAUAAGGAUCGGCUAACUCCGUGCCAGCAGCCGCGGUAAUACGGAGGAUCCGAGCGUUAUCCGGAUUUAUUGGGUUUAAAGGGAGCGUAGAUGGAUGUUUAAGUCAGUUGUGAAAGUUUGCGGCUCAACCGUAAAAUUGCAGUUGAUACUGGAUAUCUUGAGUGCAGUUGAGGCAGGCGGAAUUCGUGGUGUAGCGGUGAAAUGCUUAGAUAUCACGAAGAACUCCGAUUGCGAAGGCAGCUUACUGGACUGUAACUGACGCUGAUGCUCGAAAGUGUGGGUAUCAAACAGGAUUAGAUACCCUGGUAGUCCACACGGUAAACGAUGAAUACUCGCUGUUUGCGAUAUACUGCAAGCGGCCAAGCGAAAGCGUUAAGUAUUCCACCUGGGGAGUACGCCGGCAACGGUGAAACUCAAAGGAAUUGACGGGGGCCCGCACAAGCGGAGGAACAUGUGGUUUAA
rnacentral:rRNA from 1 species